GAGGCAGACGCUUAAUGAAUGAGCCACCAAGGCGCCUCGGUCUUGCCUUUUCUUGUUGUGAAGAUGAAAUGGUAACUUCUAAGCUCUUUACAUUGAAGUUGAAACCAGAAAUAUACUUUGAGGUCCACAUUCAUCUAUCUGGUAUUUUACUUGACAUAUCUACUUACGCAUCUCAUAUUUGCCAGGCCAAAAACAGACCUCUGAAUUCCUGUCAACCCUUGCUCCAUCCACCAUGCCAUUCAUUGUUCAGGUUAGAAACCCAAUAGUCAUUCCUGGCUCUUCAUUCUUCAGUCCUCACUUCUGUACCCACCUGCAUGUGCUGUCGCUUCUCCCUCCCGUAUGCAUCCUGCAGUGGCCCUCUGCUCUCCAGACCCACAGCCCCCAUCUUCAGCUCCCACCUGGCUCCUCCAGGGACAUCCGAACAGUUUCUCAGCUUCCACUUUUACUGUUCUAUAUUUUUUCCACCCAGCAUCCAGGAAUAUCUGUUUAAAAUGCAAAGUCCAUCAUUCCCUCACUUCAAGUCCUAAAUGUAUUUAGAAAACACUGUUUUGUAUUAUUUGGAGAGGAAAGCUUUGUCAAAUAUUUUAUCUACAUAAACGUUCUAGGGAUUGAAUUAGUGAGGCUGAGUGGAGAAUAUAUUUGUUUGAUCUUUGCCUGUGAGUAGCACUAACUAUUCAUGAACUGAAAUUUGUAUUUGAGUAAAAGAUUCAUAUACCUUUUUGCAUAGGUCAAAAAAAAUUUUAACAGAGUUUCUUUGCCUUUACUUUUAAUUAUCUCUUCUGUUGUCCUUUCUUAUGCUUUAAUAUACACUGACUUGGAACAGUGUGACAAAUUUUAUAUGUAUUUAUAUAUUUAAAAAUGUAUGUGUUUGUGUAGAAUAGUAUAUAAGAUAGACAUAAAAUAGCAUAAGAAACCUGAAGACCCUUAUUUAGGAGGGCAAAACCCCUGAAUGACUCCUGUUGUACUUGGAAGAAAUCCUGACUUUCACCAGGGCCAGCCCACCUCCCUCCCUAGGCUCCUGGGCCACCCUUCAUUGUCCAUAGGCCUGAUGUCAGUUCUAAGAGUUCCUUCCUCUUAGGACUUUCCAUAUCCCAGAACAUUUCCCAUUACUUGGAACACAUUUUUCCCCAAAACCUUUUUCUAACUCCCUUCUUAGCUUUGAAUCCUUUGUUAGUUAAAUGCCACCUUAACACAGAAGCCUUCCUUGAUGUCUCUAAAAAGUUAAGUGCUUGUGUUACUCUUUCCUACUCUAGCCAGAUCUUUUCCCUUAUAACACUUAUCACAAAUUGUUCAUUGGCUGUUCUGUUUUUUGCCACUUUUCUACUAAAAUAGAAGCUUCAUGAGAGCAGGAGCCAUCUCCAUAAUGCCUGUAAUCUAGCAAAGUGGCCAGCAUAGAGAAGACCCUUUGUAAGUAUUUGAGGAAUGAAUGAGUGAGUGAGUGAGCCCAAGUCAGAGGGAGAGAUUCGAUGAGAUGAAAGUGGUAAGACAAACCUUCCCAGUGAGUAGAGAAGUAUGUGAGAGCUUAGAGCAGGAAAUAUUUUUUUCGAGGUCCUCUUAUGUUCUGGAUCUUGUACCAGCUGCCUUCAAACAUAUCGUUCACUUUCUUAGUAAUCCUUUUUUUAUAGAUAUGAAAACAGCCUCACAAAGCUCAUAUACCUGUUCCACGGUGACCUAGUUGGGAAGCAGUAGAAUGAGCAUUCCAUUCAUAGCUCUAGCUGCAAAGCCCUAUUUCAGGAUCACAGACCUGUGUUUACAGGACCAGGUGGCAGGAGAGAAGGUGGGCAGGGUGGGAAUUAGGGCCAGACAGAGAGCCUGUGCCCCAUCCAAAGGGACAGCCACAAACAGCCAGUCGAUAACCACAGGGGAACUUGGGGCUAGGGUGGGGACAGCUACCAGCUUGUCACAAGAACUGUAAAUCUGAUUUUUAUGGUAAAUACUCUAUCCUCAGUUAUUGGCAACCAGUUUUUUAAAUUUUAAACUCUGGGAGGUCAAGCGAAAGUUAUACAGUGACUGUUUUUUGCCUUCAGGCUGUCCAUUUGCAGACUCUCCUUUACAACACGAAUGAUGAGUCCAGCUUGGCUGGAACAGAGAGUGGGUAACAUGGAGGAGAAUAGCAGCCUGCUAGUAAGGACACCAGUCACAGGAUUUGGGACCCACCCUCAACCAGUAUGGACUCAACUUGAUCAGAUGUAACCAUCUUUCUUGAGGGGACAUGAUUCUACCAACAACACCUCUUCUCCACCCCUCCAUGGGAGAUUUAAUAAGUCUGGAUACAUCCUCAAUUUGAUGUUUCCUUGGUCUCAUUAAACAGAGAUCAUAAGUAGACAGAGAGACAGGCAGAGAGAGAGGGG